AUAAUAAUAAUAAUAAUAGUUAUUAAUAAAGAAUGCAAUCAAAAGAAUGUAUGGGCCAUUGACAAAAGUAACUCAUCAAUCUAGACAAAACUUUUUUUUCCUCCUUUAGGUAUACAGUGAUCCCUCAUUUAUCACGGGAGAAGUGUUCCAGAACCAUCCGCGAAAAUCAAAAAUCUGCAUAGUAGAAACGAGUGCGACGCCGGAGAGGCGACCUACAUUUUUACAUUUAUUUUUCUCGUUUCCCUCACACGCCUUUUACGUUUUCACUCCACUCUUGGGAGUUAACUAUUGUUUGUAAGCUGCAGACCGUCAAUCCUUGCCAUUUUGACCACGUCACUGCUCGGCUUUCAGCGGAGCUUCGUGGCUGUCUGUCUACCGUUGUUCACCGAACACGUAAGUAUGGCUUCAGAUCAACAGGUUUGUAAGGCUCCAUGCACCACCUGCACCCUUCUUUUAGAGAGGUUGUCCCUGCUAGAGGGGCGUGUCCGCCAGCUAGGGCAG